rnacentral:misc_RNA from 1 species
GAAAUGCGAUACGUGAUGUGAAUUGCAUACUCGUGAAUCAUCGAAUCUUUGAACGCAAAUGGCGCUCGGCCGCUUCGGUUUGCCGAGCAUGUCUGUUUGAGGGUCAGUUUUACCUGCUUCCGGGUUCUUUUUUCUUCUUUGGAGGAAAGACCGAAUCGGAGACGAUGGGAUCUCACCGGACGUUUGCUCCUCACGGAGCCCACGGGUGACUUCCUGAAACGCAAGGUUUCUUGUUCCUUUGCCGGACCAAAAAGCCGCAACCAAAAAAAGACGUAGUUCCGAGGUCCCGACCUUUCAUUAGACGGGACCGAUCACAGCGAUGUGACCGGGCAAAACCUUUUUUUCAUCCCAAAUUUACGAAAAUGACCUCAAAUCAGGCAAGAGCACCCGCUGAACUUAAGC